rnacentral:rRNA from 1 species
GAUGAACGCUGGCGGCGUGCCUAAUACAUGCAAGUCGAGCGAAUGGAUUAAGAGCUUGCUCUUAUGAAGUUAGCGGCGGACGGGUGAGUAACACGUGGGUAACCUGCCCAUAAGACUGGGAUAACUCCGGGAAACCGGGGCUAAUACCGGAUAACAUUUUGAACCGCAUGGUUCGAAAUUGAAAGGCGGCUUCGGCUGUCACUUAUGGAUGGACCCGCGUCGCAUUAGCUAGUUGGUGAGGUAACGGCUCACCAAGGCAACGAUGCGUAGCCGACCUGAGAGGGUGAUCGGCCACACUGGGACCGAGACACGGCCCAGACUCCUACGGGAGGCAGCAGUGGGGAAUUGUUCGCAAUGGGCGCAAGCCUGACGACGCAACGCCGCGUGGAGGAUGAAGGUCUUCGGAUUGUAAACUCCUGUUGCCCGGGACGAAUGGCUUCGACCUAACACGUCGAAGUUUGACGGUACCGGGUGAGGAAGCCCCGGCUAACUCUGUGCCAGCCGCCGCUGUAA